CAUGUACUCCCUCCAUCCCGAAAUACUUGUCAGAGAAAUGGAUAAAAUGGGAUGUAUCUAUAACUAAAAUACGUCUAGAUUCAUCCAUUUCUCCGACAAGUAUUUUCGAACGGAGGGAGUAGGAU
rfam:Triticum urartu cultivar G1812 contig917781, whole genome shotgun sequence.